CGACUGGAAGGGUGUCUCUCCUGGUUCUCUGACACCCAACCCUGCUUGCAGGCUCAGUCCUGUCCUGCUCGUAGGCCACGUUCCCCACGCAGGCGGCGUCAGCCUCACCAGAGGCAGCUAAGCCUCUGGCCCAGAUCCAGGGCUGCCAUGGCAGAGAAGCACAGACUGGGCGGCCUCAACAGAAGAAAAUGGGUGGCCUCAACAGAAGAAAUGCACUUUCGUAGUCUUGGAAGUUGAAAGUUCAAGAUCAGGGUGACCAUGAGUCAGCCUGGCCUUGACAACGGAACAGCCCAGAACUCCUGGCAGAGCCUUCAUCAGAGCAGGCAGAGGGCUGCCAGGAAGGAGAAGAUACUUGGGAACUCCCUUGACUUUCCAACCUUUGCCGGCUCAGAGAGUUCUCUGGAAAGGUGGGGGGGCCUAAGGAGAACCAUGCUGCAGCAAUCAGAACAACACAAGAACUAACCACAAGACUAUGUGCAUCCAAAUUAAAAAUGUUUACCACUCUGUGCCCCCAAAUUGUCCAAUACUUUAAGUUACAGGGACAAAGAGAAAUCUGGCUCAGACAGGUUUAGUUUGGAGUGGUUUGUUCUGUCUCUUGUCUGUUACUUAAAGAAAGUGAAAGUGUUAGUCUCUCAGUUGUGUCUGAUUAUUUGUGACCUCAUGGACUGUA